rnacentral:rRNA from 1 species
UUGCAUUUAUGUAAUCUUAGCGGCGGACGAGUGAGUAACGCGUAGGCACUGCCUUGCCAGAGGGAUAACACCGGGAAACUGGUGCUAAUACCACAUGAUAUCAUAACAAGGCAUCUUGAAAUGAUCAAAGGAUAAGUCCGGUGCAAGAUGGGCCUGCGUCCGAUUAGUUAGUUGGUGAGGUAACGGCUCACCAAGGCGACGAUCGGUAGCCGAACUGAGAGGUUGAUCGGCCACAUUGGGACUGAGACACGGCCCAGACUCCUACGGGAGGCAGCAGUGGGGAAUAUUGCGCAAUGGGGGGAACCCUGACGCAGCAACGCCGCGUGAAGGAAGAAGGCCUUCGGGUUGUAAACUUUUUUGAUUGGGGAAGAAAAAAAUGACGGUACCCAAGGAACAAGCCACGGCUAACUACGUGCCAGCAGCCGCGGUAAUACGUAGGUGGCGAGCGUUGUCCGGAAUUACUGGGUGUAAAGGGCGUGUAGGCGGGAUUGUAGGUCAGAUGUGAAAUUCCAGGGCUUAACUCUGGAGGUGCAUCUGAAACUAUAAUUCUUGAGUGCUGGAGAGGCAAAGCGGAAUUCCUAGUGUAGCGGUGAAAUGCGUAGAUAUUAGGAAGAACACCAGUGGCGAAGGCGGCUUUCUGGACAGUAACUGACGCUGAGGCGCGAAAGCGUGGGGAGCAAACAGGAUUAGAUACCCUGGUAGUCCACGCUGUAAAACGAUGGAUACUAGGUGUAGGAGGUAUCGACCCCUUCUGUGCCGGAGUUAACACAAAUAAGUAUCCCACCUGGGGAGUACGCCCGACGAGGCGUGAAACUCAAAAGGUAUAGAGCGGGGGCCCGCAAACGCAGUAGAAUAUGUGGUAAAAUGAGACGCCACGCGGAGCACCUCCCCAGGGCAGACAUCCCCGCGGAUAAUAGAGAGAUAUGAUACUCUUGGGGCACGAAGGAGACAUGUGGUACAUGGUUGUUGUCAGCUCGUGUCGUGAGAUUGGUGGGAAAUAGUCCCGCAGCGAGCGCAACCCACUAGUGAUAGUGACUAUCAAUAAUGUGCACUCUAUCGCGAGUCUCGCGGUCACAUAUCAGAGAAGAGGUGGGCAAAGUUCUCAAAUUCUCUCUCAGCGCCCUUAAUUUCUUGGGUAAAAAACGUACUCCAUUGUUAACUACAAAGGGAAGCAAUACCGCAAGGAGGAGCAAAUCCCCAAAGGUGACCUCAGUUCGGAUUGUGGGCUG